GAACGCAUCUUGCGCCCUUUGGUAUUCCGAGGGGCAUGCCUGUUUGAGUGUCGCAUUACUCUCAACCCUUGACCGAUCAUCGGCUUGGGCUUGGACCGUGGCCGAACCUGGCCGGCGUCGUAGACGUCUGGCCCGGCCGAAAUGAAUGCGGAGCGAAUGCGCGACCGCGACGACCGAGCGUUGUAGAACCUCGCGAGGUUGUUGUUGGUGUGCUGCUCCCCAGUCAUAUUCUUCGAUCUCAAAUCAGGUAGGACUACCCGCUGAACUUA
rnacentral:misc_RNA from 1 species